rnacentral:rRNA from 1 species
AGAGUUUGAUCCUGGCUCAGGAUGAACGCUAGCGGCAGGCUUAACACAUGCAAGUCGAGGGGUAACAGGGAGCUUGCUCUGCUGACGACCGGCGCACGGGUGCGUAACGCGUAUGCAACCUACCUUCUACAGGGGGAUAGUCAAUAGAAAUGUUGAAUAAUACCCCAUACGAUCUUUGAGUGGCAUUACUUAAAGAGGAAAGCUUCGGCGGUAGAAGAUGGGCAUGCGUCCUAUUAGUUAGUUGGUGAGGUAACGGCUCACCAAGACUACGAUAGGUAGGGGCCCUGAGAGGGGGAUCCCCCACACUGGUACUGAGACACGGACCAGACUCCUACGGGAGGCAGCAGUGAGGAAUAUUGGACAAUGGAGGCAACUCUGAUCCAGCCAUGCCGCGUGCAGGAAGACUGCCCUAUGGGUUGUAAACUGCUUUUAUACAGGAAGAAACCUACUUACGUGUAAGUAGCUGACGGUACUGUAAGAAUAAGGAUCGGCUAACUCCGUGCCAGCAGCCGCGGUAAUACGGAGGAUCCAAGCGUUAUCCGGAAUCAUUGGGUUUAAAGGGUCCGUAGGUGGUUUAUUCAGUCAGAGGUGAAAUCCCAUAGCUUAACUAUGGAACUGCCUUUGAUACUGAUAGACUUGAGUUAUUGUGAAGUGGUUAGAAUGUGUAGUGUAGCGGUGAAAUGCAUAGAUAUUACACAGAAUACCGAUUGCGAAGGCAGAUCACUAACAAUAUACUGACACUGAGGGACGAAAGCGUGGGUAGCGAACAGGAUUAGAUACCCUGGUAGUCCACGCCGUAAACGAUGGUCACUAGCUGUUUGGACUUCGGUCUGAGUGGCUAAGCGAAAGUGAUAAGUGACCCACCUGGGGAGUACGUUCGCAAGAAUGAAACUCAAAGGAAUUGACGGGGGCCCGCACAAGCGGUGGAGCAUGUGGUUUAA